GAUGAAGUUGUUGUAUGCUAGCGAGAGGGUCUGGAGUUUAGUGAGAUUGGCGAUAUUUGGUGGGAGCGUGCCGGUGAAGAGGUUGUUGGCUAGGCCGAGUGUUUGGAGUGCGGGAAAGUGGGUGAUGGAGUCGGGGAUGUCGCCGGAGAAGUUGUUGUAGGAGAGGGAGAGAUAGUAGAUGCUGGAUGAGAGACGGUGAAUGUCGGAAGGAAUGGGACCGACGAAAAGGUUUUCGGACAGGUCGAGAUAUGCGAGGG
rnacentral:misc_RNA from 1 species